rnacentral:misc_RNA from 1 species
AAUAGACGUCAUGUAGUUUUUCUUGAACGGCGACCACAUGCAGCACGACAUUGCUUCCAUUUACAACGAUUGUCGUUUCCUCAGAUAAGAUAAAGAAAAUGGUUUGAUCUUGACCGUCUCCCCGGUUUAGGUGUUCAAUACGGACCGUCAGAUUUACAUACAAAAUCCUCCUUUUGCAAACCUAGUUUCUUCUUUUGCUUUCCCAAAGCGCGUUAUCGAUAGGGAAGAGAGAGACUAACCUGUUCCCGGCCGAUCCAGCCUUCCCCAUCUAGGGCGACACCUCCAUUCAUCUUUCCGAUGAGAGAAAGCCACAGCAGAGCGAAAUUUGGGGUGAAAAAUCGCUGAAAGUGAGAGAAAGAACCUGAAACCCCUCUCAUUCCCUACCAUAUCCCUUACUGGGGAUUUCGCCGACGGCGCCGCGGCUUCUCCUCCUCUUCGAUACGCCCAAGCCGGACCUCGUCUAGACGCUCCAACAACGUCGGAGAUAGCCAAAUACUGUACCGAAGAGAAUCAUUUCAACCGAGGAACACAAAAAGGAGAAGGGAAGAAGGUGUUUUUCGCUUGUAGAACAGAUCUAGGCACCCAAAAUGGCUGCUGGAAAAGAGGAGGAAGUAGAGGUUCAAGAUGAGCUAGCAGAUUCAUUGAAUGAUCUCUUCACCAGUGUCUGCACCAUGGUCAAAGGCGAACUUCAG